rnacentral:ribozyme from 1 species
AGAAGAAAUCCAAGAAAGACAAAAAACUUAAACAGAAAGCAAUGCAAAAAGUUCAAUAAGCGGAUGAGAAACACAUCCUCGUGGGAUGUAUUGUAUUUGUUCGAAUUCGGCAGCCGUGAAUGUUGUGGAGUUUUGCUUCUGCUUCUUUGUGCAUUUUUUUCCUGUGUUUGGUUUUCAUAAUCAGUGCAAGGAUAUUUUGAAGACUGAG